AGCGAACGCUGGCGGCAGGCCUAACACAUGCAAGUCGAACGAACUCUUCGGAAUUAGUGGCGGACGGGUGAGUAACACGUGGGAACGUGCCUUUAGGUUCGGAAUAACUCAGGGAAACUUGUGCUAAUACCGAAUGUGCCCUUCGGGGGAAAGAUUUAUCGCCUUUAGAGCGGCCCGCGUCUGAUUAGCUAGUUGGUGAGGUAAAGGCUCACCAAGGCGACGAUCAGUAGCUGGUCUGAGAGGAUGAUCAGCCACAUUGGGACUGAGACACGGCCCAAACUCCUACGGGAGGCAGCAGUGGGGAAUCUUGCGCAAUGGGCGAAAGCCUGACGCAGCCAUGCCGCGUGAAUGAUGAAGGUCUUAGGAUUGUAAAAUUCUUUCACCGGGGACGAUAAUGACGGUACCCGGAGAAGAAGCCCCGGCUAACUUCGUG
rnacentral:rRNA from 1 species